AGUUGAUUAGGUCAACCAGCGGGUUUGCAUGGCUGAAGAGACUGUAACUGUGGUUGAGGAUAUCUGAGGAGAUUCGAAUCCAAUAAAAUUGUCUAGUUGGAGUCUUCAGGAGGCAAGUCUAGAAUAUGAGCAUAUCUAAGAAAACUGAUAAAUCUGUGGUUAUGCUGAAUUAUUUUUCCAUUUGCUAUUAGCAUGGAUAAUCAAGAAUAGACUAUCAUAGGCCAAGCAUGGUGGCUCAUGCCUGUAAUCCCAGCACUUUGGGAGGCUGACGUGGGCAGAUUACCUGAGGCCAGGAGUUCGAGACCAGCCUGGCCAAUAUAGCAAAACCCCAU
rnacentral:lncRNA from 1 species